AGGUCCCUUUCCUCACAGGUUUUCCUCAUUUCACAGGAGAGAAAACUGAAGGUCAGUGGUGUGCAGGGACCUGCCCAAUGUAAGGUGGCCAGAAGCUGUGGAGCCAGGAGGUAAACCCAGGCCAUCUGGCUCGAGUCCAAGCCCAUCACUCCCAUGCCCUUGAGCCUGGGGACCCAGGUCUGGCUGCCUCUGGGCCUGUUCCUUACACCACCUUUAAAAAAGAAAGAGAGAGAGAGACGGAGAGAGAGAGAGAAGGUCGAGGGAGACAUUUCCCAGGUGUGAUCCAGCGACAAAUUCCAGUCGGUAUCUGAGAUGCUAUGCUCUGGGAGGGGCGCUGGAGGGCAGGGACCAUCUCCUCGUCACCCAGCCCAAGGCCUGGCCCACACCAGGCACUCCCAAACAUUGUUGAGCAUUUACCAGUCAAUCAUAUCACCCCUUACUUCCUUCCUCUUAUUUUGUCCUCCCCCACCCCCACCCCGGCAGAGGCAUGAAAGCAACAACAGUCCAAGGAUAUCUGCCCUGUACUUGGCAAUCACUGCAGCCCUUUCCUGCCUCAUCUGAUCACCUCCUAGGCCCACCAGGAAAAUACAGUCCUUAGAUACAUUUUCCACUGAAGGCUGUUUCAGUGCAAUGGCUAAAAGUAACCUGCACAGUCCUCCCACUUUCCGUUCCACCUGUGUGACCUGGAGCAAAUUACUUAACUUCUCUCAGCCUCGGUGUCUUUGCAUGUAAAUGGAGACAAUCAUGAUAACUUUAAGUUGUUGUAAGGCUUAGAGUUCAUCCAUGUGAAUCAUUCAGAGCAAGGCUGGGUAAAUACGAAUGACUGAAAGGAAUAAAGCUGUCCUUAUUUUUACUCCACAGGUAUUCCCUAAGAAACUUCUAGUGCCAGGUGCCAUGCUUUCUCGACUAUAAAACCAGAAAUUUAAUCUUAAAUCCCUCUUCAACCCUCCCUGCUGGGGGCCACCAUCUGAUGGAAAAGACAAACUCAGAGAAAGAGAAAUAAGAAACAGACAAUGACCACGCAGGGCAGUUAGAGGGACGGUAGAAAGGCUUAGCAAAGUGCAGGUGAGGGCAGGGACUGCCAAGUAGGGAAAGGGACAGCCGAGGCCAGGAUGGGCCCAAUCAGCGCAGCCAGCCUCUGCACUCGCCCUACAGCCCCUUGUCCAACCUGGAGGCUGCAAAGGGCAGGAGGGGUGUUUAGCAAGACUGGCCAAGGGCAGACACUGACCAAUGAUGACCUUUCAGUGUGCCCUGGGCCUAGGACCCUACCCAGCACUGCACCAGUCCUAUGGGGGGCAGGAGAGGAGGACAGACAGACACCAGGGUGGAGGCACAACCACAGUGAGCACAGCCCUGCGGCUCCUGCAACUAACUGGUCAUCUACUCCCCAGCUUCUUGGAGUUUUAGUUCCCUUCGCUGACUCUGCAUUUAACCAGACCUUCCGGUUAUCCAUCUUUUUUAGCUUAGUGGAAUGUGCAGCGAGGAAGACAAGUCACAUGCUGUUCGUCAGGAAACUGAGUGAAAACCAGAAUUCCUGUCAGUGAGGUCAACAACCCUCCUGAAAUGUCAAGAAUAUAUUCCUACACGAUGUGCAGGAAGAGGACUGAAGCAUUAAGAGCUCGUGCACGUUUGCCAACUUUUUCUUCUCCUGCCUCUGCAAUCAUGGAAACCACGUGCUAAGAUGGUAAGAGCCACAAAGCGGAAGUAACUGAAUCACUGAAUCAUGGAGAUCCACCCAACUUGGAGUCACCCAACUUGUAUGGAACAUUCUAAGAAAUAAACCCUUGUUGUAUUCAGCUACUGAGAUUUCAGAGUGUAUCCUAUCCGGACUGGUCAAUAACAGCUAUUAUUGUGGGCUUGUAAGCUUGUAAUCAAGGAUGGUUAGAUUGAAAAAACAAGCAAAUUUUAGAAAAUUAGGAAACAUUUGUAAGCACCUGGAAUGUUCCAGGAAUAUGUGGUACUUUAAUAACUCUGUUGUUGGUGCCCAACAGUGAUUCUCAACUGGGGGUGGUUUUGGCCCCAGGGGACAACUGACAAGGUCUGGAGGCAUUUUUGGUUGUCAUGACUCAAGGGGUAUUACUGGCACCUACUAGAGGGUGGAGGCCAGGGACACUGCCAAACAUCCCUGUAGUAGAUUAAAUGUACAAAAAAGACCCUUCACAGCCCAGACCCUAUCUUCUAAGAUAAUCACUAUUACCCCGGUUUCUUCUGUCCUCCAGAUAUACUCUGCAUAUAAAAGUAUAGGCAACUGUAAAACGUUUUUUGUGCUAAGUGGGAACAAAUCACAGAUUGUUCUGCAUGUGUUUCCUUGGAAUUCAUUCCCUAUCAGAACCAACAUAUCUGUCCUAGUGCUCAAAGAACCUAACAGAUGCUACUUUUUCAUACCGGGCCACAAUGGAAGCCCAUCCCCAAGGAAGCUUCUAAAAUAUCUUAGUCUUGGCCCUACUCCUAGAGAUUGAUUCAACUAGCCUAGGAGAGGCCUGACCACCCACCAUUUUCCCUGGGUACAAUCAAGGUUAAGAACUGCAGAACGAAUCCCUCCACCUGUGCCCUGGAUCCCAUGGCCUCUAGGUCCCCCAGGGAUCUCACUCCACCCAGAACACCUACUCCAGUCUCCCUCCCUCUAUUCCCUUUCCCACCAGCAUCUGAACAUAUCAUCACCUCUCAAAUCACUUCCUCCAUCAGCCACUACUGCCUCUCUCUCCUUCCAUUCACAGCCAUGUGUGUUUCCCCUCACUUUACAUUCAAGUCAUGCUUCAAGCCAUUUAGGUUCUUCUCUCCCAGGUCGCCAAGCUCUCUACUUUUUGGAUCUUAUCUUGUCCUCUCACCUGAACCUAUCACACCACUUUUGAAAUAUUUCCUUCUGUUGCUUGUGACUUGGGCAACAUUCAGCUGGUUGGCUGGAAGUCAAGAGUCAAGCAUCAUAUUAAGUACCACCCUAUGAAUCCAAGUUGCAAAUACUGGCGGCUACCAAGUUAAAGAUAGUGGGUCUACAGCAGUGAAUGCAGGUGUUGCUUCCUCAUGGUCUUCCAGUUUGGGAAAUCGGUAGUUGCAGUAGGCAGAAGCUUGGAGUUGCUACACUUGGAGAUACCAAGAGUAAAUAAAGACCUAACGAAACUGGGUAGUUUUGGGACAUGUUAACAUGGAGGUGUCUAUUAGAUGUCCAAAUCAAAAUACCAGAUAAGCAAUUUGAAAACUCCAGGGUUCAGGAGAGCUAAGUCGAAGAUAUAAAUUUGAGUCUUCAAUGUAGAUGGUAUUUAAAACCAGGAACUGUACAUGGUCUCAGCAAGGGAA